GACGAACGCUGGCGGCGUGCUUAACACAUGCAAGUCGAACGGAAAGGCCCUGCUUUUGUGGGGUGCUCGAGUGGCGAACGGGUGAGUAACACGUGAGUAACCUGCCCUUGACUUUGGGAUAACUUCAGGAAACUGGGGCUAAUACCGGAUAGGAGCUCCUGCUGCAUGGUGGGGGUUGGAAAGUUUCGGCGGUUGGGGAUGGACUCGCGGCUUAUCAGCUUGUUGGUGGGGUAGUGGCUUACCAAGGCUUUGACGGGUAGCCGGCCUGAGAGGGUGACCGGACACAUUGGGACUGAGAUACGGCCCAGACUCCUACGGGAGGCAGCAGUGGGGAAUAUUGCACAAUGGGCGGAAGCCUGAUGCAGCAACGCCGCGUGCGGGAUGACGGCCUUCGGGUUGUAAACCGCUUUCGCCUGUGACGAAGCGUGAGUGACGGUAAUGGGUAAAGAGGCACCGGCUAACUACGUG
rnacentral:rRNA from 1 species